rnacentral:lncRNA from 1 species
GUCAGCAAACUCCUGUAAGUGAAGUUCGUCAAGCUGGCAGAAUUUUAGAGGCAUCUCAUUUAAAUUAGAUCUGGCCUUUGUGAUGAUUUAGUGCAAACCAAACGUAAGCUUUGCCAGUUUAUGAGGAAUGGCACCAAGUCAAGAAUAAACCAUUGGCUGGGCACGCUGGCCCAGGCCUGUAAUCCCAGCACUUUGGGAAGCCGAGGCAAGAGGAUUGCUUGAGCCCAAGAUUUUGAGGCCAGCCUGAGCAACAUGGUGAAACCUCAUCUCUACAAAAAUACCAGAAAAAUUAGCUGGAUAUGGUGGUGCAUACCUGUGGUCCCAGCUACUGAGGAGACUGAGGCAGGAAGAUCGCUUCAGCCCGGGAGGUCAAGGUUGCAGUGAUCCAUGAUCAUGCCACCGCACUCCAGCCUGAGCAUCAGAGCAAGACCCAGUCUAAAAAAAAAGGAGAAGAAUAAACCAUCAACACUAUAAAAAAUAUUGUAUAUUCCUUACGUUUCUAAAGAUACAAGAAGUACCCACCCAUGCACACUAAAAACCAAGUAAAAAGUAAGAAGAGAGGAAAAAUAAAGUACCCAUCCAUUUUCAGAAACAGACUGAAAAAAAAGAGAGGAAAACGCCUCACCAAAUACAAGUUUUGCCAUACACAAGUAACUUUCUCAUAUCCCUUAUUUUUCUAAACUAUCCCAGAAGAGUCCCUAUACUAUUGCUUUAUUUUAAUCAUGUCAGAGGACCUUGACAUACUGAACCCUUCUCU